UGGUUGAUGAAGAUUUUUUCAUCUUCCUUCUAUUUUAGACUUUCUACGAAGGAGGCUAAUGGUUUGGAGGAUGAUAAAAAGAGACUCCUUUCUCUUUUACCUCAAAGGCAUGCUCAAGGAGAACCAAGAAAAAUCCUAGAAAAGAACCCUAUCUUCUCUUAUUUUCUUCUUCCCUUUUUCACGCCUAGAAAGGUGUCGACGCCCCUUUAAUUUUUCUCACACCCCCACC
rnacentral:lncRNA from 1 species